GGGUCAGUAGGUUGGUCGUGCCACCGGUACGUACUGGUCUCACUGAUUCCUCCUUCCUGAAGAACCGUAAUGCCAUUAAUUUGGUGUUGCGGGGAGACAGGACUGUUACUUUGAAAAAAUUAGAGUGUUUAAAGCAAGCUAACGCUUGAAUACAUUAGCAUGGAAUAAUGAAAUAGGACGAUCGAUCCUAUUUUGCUGGUUUCUAGGAUUGACGUA
rnacentral:rRNA from 1 species